rnacentral:tmRNA from 1 species
GGGGAUGACAUGGCUUCGACGUUGGUUAUGAAGCCCGCAGGUGCAUGCGGAGAGUGAGUUGCCUCUCCUAAAUCAACUUCUCAAACAAAUAGUCGCAAACGACGAAAACUACGCACUAGCCGCUUAAAUCCGGCUUAUGACCAAGCUUGCAUGCCGAUAUGCGGGGGCGGUCAGCGCAAAAAAUAUCGGAUCGCUACAUGACUUGCCGCGCGUCAUGAUGCUAAAACCCAGUGGAUCGCUUGCCGCACCCUGUCUCUCGGGCCGCGCUGAGUUAAAACAAUUGAGAAGACUAAGCAUGUAGAUCCGAGGGUAGAGUGCUGACGGACGCGGGUUCGAUCCCCGCCAUCUCCACCA